rnacentral:rRNA from 1 species
CCUACGGGAGGCAGCAGUGGGGAAUAUUGCACAAUGGGGGAAACCCUGAUGCAGCGACGCCGCGUGAGUGAAGAAGUAUUUCGGUACGUAAAGCUCUAUCAGUAGGGAAGAAAAUGACGGUACCUGACUAAGAAGCCCCGGCUAACUACGUGCCAACAGCCGCGGUAAUACGGAGGGGGCAAGCGUUAUCCGGAUUUACUGGGUGUAAAGGGAGCGUAGGCGGCAGCUCAAGUCUGUAGUGAAAUUCCAUGGCUUAACCAUGGAACUGCUUUGGAAACUGUGCAGCUAGAGUGCAGGAGAGGUAAGCGGAAUUCCUGGUGUAGCGGUGAAAUGCGUAGAUAUUAGGAGGAACACCAGUGGCGAAGGCGGCUUACUGGACUGUAACUGACGUUGAGGCUCGAAAGCGUGGGGAGCAAACAGGAUUAGAUACCCGUGUAGUC